GUGCUCGCUUUGGCGCACGUAUACUAAAAUUGGAACGACAGAGAGAAGAUUAGCAUGGCCCCUGUACAAGGAUGACACGCAAAUUUGUGAAGUGUUCCAUAUUUUU
ensembl:snRNA U6 U6 spliceosomal RNA